UACGUAGGGUGCAAGCGUUAAUCGGAAUUACUGGGCGUAAAGCGUGCGCAGGCGGUUAUGUAAGACAGUUGUGAAAUCCCCGGGCUCAACCUGGGAAUUGCAUCUGUGACUGCAUAGCUAGAGUACGGUAGAGGGGGAUGGAAUUCCGCGUGUAGCAGUGAAAUGCGUAGAUAUGCGGAGGAACACCGAUGGCGAAGGCAGCCCCCUGGGCUGACACUGACGCUCAGGCACGAAAGCGUGGGGAGCAAACAGG
rnacentral:rRNA from 1 species